rnacentral:rRNA from 1 species
AGUGAACGCUGGCGGUAGGCCUAACACAUGCAAGUCGAACGGCAGCACAGUAAGAGCUUGCUCUUACGGGUGGCGAGUGGCGGACGGGUGAGGAAUACAUCGGAAUCUACUUUUUCGCGGGGGAUAACGUAGGGAAACUUACGCUAAUACCGCAUACGACCUACGGGUGAAAGCAGGGGAUCUUCGGACCUUGCGCGAUUGAAUGAGCCGAUGUCGGAUUAGCUAGUUGGCGGGGUAAAGGCCCACCAAGGCGACGAUCCGUAGCUGGUCUGAGAGGAUGAUCAGCCACACUGGAACUGAGACACGGUCCAGACUCCUACGGGAGGCAGCAGUGGGGAAUAUUGGACAAUGGGCGCAAGCCUGAUCCAGCCAUACCGCGUGGGUGAGGAAGGCCUUCGGGUUGUAAAGCCCUUUUGUUGGGAAAGAAAAGCAGCAGGUUAAUACCCCGCUGUUCUGACGGUACCCAAAGAAUAAGCACCGGCUAACUUCGUG